UUUUGAAAUUGCAUAAAUCUGAUAAUUUCAUUACAAAUUUCUGAAUCAUAUAGUAAAACAUUAAAUGUGAUACACCACUAUCUAAAAAGGGAGCACGGCUUCUAAUUGUCACAAUUUCUCAAAUACAAUUCACAAAGAAAUCUCAAAAAAUGAGAGGUAAUUGAACAACUGUGACAACUUCCAUGCUUGACCUACGCAAAUCAGCAUCUAUUCCAGUUACUUCAGUUCCUUCAGUGACAAUACCAGUCACAAUAAUCUUCCUUCCUUUAAUUUACCAAUUAUUUUUACAUUUGUUACUUUCGGGGAAGAUGUGGCAACCACAUGUAAUAUCUUAAUAUUAUAGCACAAAGCAUUUAAAAAUAAGCUACUAAAGGACCUGACUCAACUAUCUGAGACAUUAUUGACAUAGGCUUUCCUGCUUGGCCUAAAAAAUAGUGAAAAAACAUUGAGUUAAUAUCAGCUAAAAUACUAGGGAAUGCUCAAUGAGAAAUAUUGUUAGACUAGUCCAAACUAUGAAGAAUGAGCUAACCUUCAAAGUUCACAGGUAUAUAAACAAAAUCCAAUCUAUUGAUAGCUCUAAAUAGAAGUAAGAAUUGAAGUACAAAUAAAAUAAUAAUAAUUAUAAUUUUAGGUCAGUAGAUUCAAUCGAAGAAAGUAUGUAGCAAGCCAAUAUUCUUUUCCUUUCUAUAAGAAGUUACUAGUGUAAUCAGGCUAAAUAUAUAUGGUGAAGUACAAAGGUCAAAUAUUCUAUUCAUGAGUCUUAAAAUCAAGAAAAACAAUGCAUGAGGAACAUGAUAAGUGAGAACAGUCAAGAUAUCAGUUCGGAUCUACAACUGCAGAUCAGCUCCACUAGGUUAUCUCAGAGUUCAAAUAUAGGUCAAGUUACAGCUAGAGUCAGAUCAGCUCCACUAGGUUAUCUCAGAGUUCAAAUAUAGGUCAAGUCACAGCUCGAGAAAUUUUAUUGGGAAUGAUGCUCGAAAUCACCCUUUGGAUAAGCUGCAAUCCCAAUAAAGCCGGUAUUCAAUGUGUUCGAAAGAGAUCAUUUUUAU
rnacentral:lncRNA from 1 species